rnacentral:tRNA from 2 species
GGACGAUUAGCUCAGUUGGCUAGAGCGCUUCCUUGACAUGGAAGAGGUCACAGGUUCAAGUCCUGUAUCGUCCACCA